CAGAAAAGGCUGACCAGCCUCUGGUUCCCGUACCGGUCAAAUGAUAGGAGUACCUUUCCAGUUUGGAAACAUCUGGGCAGGCCCAGAUUGAACAGGAUCCAGGGGGAAGUACCAAGCCUGUCCCAUCGGCCAUCCUGUGUGUCAUGUCCUGUGACCCAGUGGAUGCUCAGCACCCUCCAGCUGAAGAAAAAGAUUGCCUUAGGUACAUGAAAGGUGAGGACACCUACUAUCCCCAUGGAGCCCAGGUGGGGCUGGGAGUCUGCUGUUUGUACAGCCGGUGGGCUCGUGUUGCUUUGGGCAUCCCUGUGCCUGAA